GGAAGGAUCAUUAUCGAAUAAACUUGUGUAGGUUGUUGCUGGCCUUUUCGGAGGCAUGUGCACGCUUGCCAUUGUUUCAUUCCCCCUUCCACCUGUGCACAUCCUGUAGACCAGGCUGUCAYCCCCUUCAGUGGUGCUUGCACCUCUGGCAUGAGGACUUGCUCUGGCUGUCCUUGGAUGGUCUGGUCUAUGUCUUAUCAACUCUCAUUGUAUGGUAUUGAACGUCAGCCUGGGUUCUAUACAACCCAUAAAAUCCUAUACAACUUUCAACAACGGAUCUCUUGGCUCUCGCAUCGAUGAAGAACGCAGCGAAAUGCGAUAAGUAAUGUGAAUUGCAGAAUUCAGUGAAUCAUCGAAUCUUUGAACGCACCUUGCGCUCCUUGGUAUUCCGAGGAGCAUGCCUGUUUGAGUGUCAUUAAAUCCUCAAUCUCACCGUUCUUAACGAACGAUGGGGUUGGAUGUGGAAGCUGCUGGCUCGCUGGGUCAGCUCUUCUGAAAUGUAUUAGCAAGGGCCACUGUUUGUAGGCUACAGCUUGGUAUUGAUAGAUGUCUUACCAUGUUGGCAGCGAACCUACAGGUGCUCAGCUCCUAGUCGUCUCAGCGAGACAACGACCUGACGAUU
rnacentral:rRNA from 1 species